CAGUGAUGUGACUGGGCCCAAUGUCCACCCAGUGCUUCUCCCGCAGGGUGACCAUGGCCUGGGUUCCAGGAGCGGUGGUUCAGCUCUUAGCAGCAGCAGCAUCGGAGGAGUUAGGAGGGUCACCCGGCCACCACCAGCAGAACUGGCAGGUGCGAGUUGACAGUCCUCAGCCCAGAGGAGCAUAAGCCAAGCUAGUGGCAGUUCAUGGAAGCUUUGGAGGCUCCUUGCACUAUAACAUGUCUGAAAGGCUGGAGCAUAAUUCGGUUUUUCUGGUACCACUGCCUCAGACCAGGCAGAGCAGGAUAAAAAUGACCUGUAAGAGCCGAGGAAAGGAUAAAAAUGUAUGUAUAUAUAUCCAGAGGAUUACGCAAUUCUGGCUUGUGAUGGUGCUGGGAACUGAACCUGAGACCUUUUCAGGCAUGAAAGAAAAAUGUCUCCUUUGAGCAGCAGGACUCCUGAAUUCCAGCCAGAAAAGGAGCCCACAUGGAGAAACAGCACAACACCGGUGGUCAUUUAUGCAGGUCUAGCCUUUCUUGAGUGACUGACUCCUGAAGAUUGGAGCAGGGGCCUUCCUGGUGGCUUUCAGCAUCAGGACUCGCCAAGAUUUACUGCAGAUGCUGCCCAAGACAAGAUUAUGGCUUUCUAUAGUCAACAACCUCAAUGGAAUCCAUUUUUUUCCUGCAAGAAUUGAGACUAUUCCGUCUGUACGCAGGGUCACCGUCUGCCACUAGACAUCUGACUGCAGGACCUAUGGACACAGCUCAUCGUCUCAACAACCAGACCCUCAGCAACACUCUGACCACUGCCUGAACCCCUGUCUCAGCCAUGGACAACAGCUCUUGCCCACUGAAUGUGCCCUGCAACAUCUCACUGAGAAAUGGCAUUGGGAUUGGCACCGUGGUGAAAAUCCGUGGAUCUGUUCCUGAUAAUUCUGACAGCUCUCCUGCCAGCCCAGCCUUGGACAAGUAAGGCCACCCUCCUAAUGUCCCUGCCCCAAUUCCUGACUCAGUGACAUCACAAUGACCUUGAGUUGCUAAGCAACUGGGACACCAGGCUCUGAGACAGCUGCUCUCUCAUGGUGGUCUCACACAAGUGCACCGUCUGGCUGUUGCUUUUGGGAUCUAAUCUCUGUCUACCCCUCAUCUCCUGGGGCCCAUCAUGACAGCUGCUCAGACUCUCCCCUCAGUGAUCUCAGCUGGUAUGAAAGCCCAGCUCCCCUGACAGCUGCUGGAGGCAAUUGUGGGGCUCUAGGUAUGUGUGUGGGGGGUCCAUUUUCCCAUCACC